AGUGAACGCUGGCGGUAGGCCUAACACAUGCAAGUCGAACGGCAGCACAGUAAGAGCUUGCUCUUACGGGUGGCGAGUGGCGGACGGGUGAGGUAUACAUCGGAAUCUACUUUUUCGUGGGGGAUAACGUAGGGAAACUUACGCUAAUACCGCAUACGACCUACGGGUGAAAGCAGGGGAUCUUCGGACCUUGCGCGAUUGAAUGAGCCGAUGUCGGAUUAGCUAGUUGGCGGGGUAAAGGCCCACGAAGGCGACGAUCCUUAGCUGGUCUGAGAGGAUGAUCAGCCACACUGGAACUGAGACACGCUCCAGACUCCUACGGGAGGCAGCAGUGGGGAAUAUUGGACAAUGGGCGCAAGCCUGAUCCAGCCAUACCGCGUGGGUGAAGAAGGCCUUCGGGUUGUAAAGCCCUUUUGUUGGGAAAGAAAAGCAGCAGGUUAAUACCCCGCUGUUCUGACGGUAACCAAAGAAUAAGCACCGGCUAACUUCGUG
rnacentral:rRNA from 1 species